UAGGCACGGUAGAAUCAAGCCCGGAGAGGAAAUUAUACAGAGACGUGUUGACUCAACUGAGAUGUAAGCAGGAGUUGUUGACUCGACCGAGGUGUAAGCGGGAGUGGAGAAAAACCUCGUGGCGUU